rnacentral:rRNA from 1 species
UGUCUUUUUGAAUAUAAUUUAAAGUCUAAUCUGCCCAAUGAUAAAAUUGAAUGGCCGCGGUAUAUUGACCGUGCAAAGGUAGCAUAAUAAUUAGUUUYUUAAUUAGAAGCUGGAAUGAAGGAUUGAAUGAAAAAAUAACUGUCUCAAUUUAAUUUAUUUAGAAAUUUAUUUUUAAGUUAAAAAGCUUAAAUAUAAUUAAAAGACSAGAAGACCCYAUAGAGUUUUAUUUUUUUUUUAAAUAAAAAUUUAUUGAAUAAAAUUUUUUUAUUUAUAAAAAAAAUUUUGUUGGGGUGAUGAAAAAAUUAAAAUAACUUUUUUUAUAUAAAAACAUUAAUAUAUGAAUUAUUGAUCCAAUAUUAUUGAUUAUAARAUUAAAUUACCUUAGGGAUAACAGCGUAAUUUUUUUUAARAGUUCUUAUCGAAAAAAAARAUUGCGACCUCGAUGUUGGAUUAAAAUUUAAAUUUGGUGUAAAACCUAAAUAUUUAGGUCUGUUCGACCUUUAAAAUUUU